UCCAGACUCCUACGGGAGGCAGCAGUGGGGAAUAUUGCACAAUGGGGGAAACCCUGAUGCAGCGACGCCGCGUGAGUGAAGAAGUAUUUCGGUAUGUAAAGCUCUAUCAGCAGGAAAGAAAAUGACGGUACCUGACUAAGAAGCCCCGGCUAACUACGUGCCAGCAGCCGCGGUAAUACGUAGGGGGCAAGCGUUAUCCGGAUUUACUGGGUGUAAAGGGAGCGUAGACGGUGAAGCAAGUCUGAAGUGAAAGCCCGUGGCUUAACUACGGGACUGCUCUGGAAACUGUGCAGCUAGAGUGCAGGAGAGGCAGGCGGAAUUCCUAGUGUAGCGGUGAAAUGCGUAGAUAUUAGGAGGAACACCGGUGGCGAAGGCGGCCUGCUGGACUGUGACUGACGUUGAGGCUCGAAAGCGUGGGGAGCAAACAGGAUUAGAUACCCCUGUACCU
rnacentral:rRNA from 1 species